GAUGAACGCUGGCGGCGUGCCUAAUACAUGCAAGUCGAGCGAACAGACGAGGAGCUUGCUCCUCUGACGUUAGCGGCGGACGGGUGAGUAACACGUGGAUAACCUACCUAUAAGACUGGGAUAACUUCGGGAAACCGGAGCUAAUACCGGAUAAUAUUUUGAACCGCAUGGUUCAAUAGUGAAAGACGGUUUUGCUUUCACCUAUAGAUGGAUCCGCGCCGCAUUAGCUAGUUGGUAAGGUAACGGCUUACCAAGGCAACGAUGCGUAGCCGACCUGAGAGGGUGAUCGGCCACACUGGAACUGAGACACGGUCCAGACUCCUACGGGAGGCAGCAGUAGGGAAUCUUCCGCAAUGGGCGAAAGCCUGACGGAGCAACGCCGCGUGAGUGAUGAAGGUCUUCGGAUCGUAAAACUCUGUUAUUAGGGAAGAACAAAUGUGUAAGUAACUAUGCACGUCUUGACGGUACCUAAUCAGAAAGCCACGGCUAACUACGUG
rnacentral:rRNA from 1 species